UCAAGAAAUAAUAGAAGAAAAAUGCACACUCAUAAGCUCCAAUGCCCAUAUAGGUGUGUGUAUGUGUGUGUUUGUAUGUGGGGUUGAGAGGUGAAGCCAGCUGGACUUUCUGAGUCGGGUGGGAGAACUUGGAGAACUUUUCUGUCUAGCUAAAUGAUUGUAAAUGCACCAAUCAGCACUCUGUAAAAACGCACCAAUCAGCACUCUGUGUCUAGCUAAAGGUUUGUAAAUGCACCAAUCAGCACUCUGUAAAAACGGACCAAUCAGCACUCUGUAAAAUGGGCCAAUCAGCAGGAUGUGGGCGGGGCCAAAUAAGGGAAUAAAAGCUGGCAACCCGAGCCAGCAGCUGGCAACCCACUUGGGUUGCCUUCCACGCUGUGGAAGCUUCGUUCUUUCUCUCUUCACAGUAAAUCUUGCUGCUGCUCACUGUUUGGGUCCGCACUACCUUUAGGAGCUGUAACACUCACUGUGAAGGUCUGUGGCUUCACCCCUGAAGUCAGCGAGACCACGAACCCACUGGGAGGAAUGAACAACUCCGGACGUGUCACCUUUAAGAGCUGUAACACUCACUGCGAAGGUCUGCGGCUUCACUCCUGAAGUCCAGCGAGACCACGAACCCACUGGAAGGAAGAAACUCUGGACACAUCUGAACAUCCGAAGGAACAAACUCCGAACACACUAUCUUUAAGAACUGUAACACUCACCACGAGGGUCCGCGGCUUCAUUCUUGAAGUCAGCGAGACCAAGAACCCACCCGAAGGAACCAAUUCCGGACACAGGGUGGAGGAGGGGGUGAAGGUUAAUGUGCAAUUUCUAGAUGAGAAUGCCUGUGGCUUCUCUUAGCCACAUGCAAGUGAACAAGCACUGGCAGAGAGACAGAUGGCUUAGCUUGCCCAGAGCAGCCCCAGUGCUCUUAGGGAAGGAAAAGAGCCCACUUCACUUCACUUCAGUUCCUCCUUUCCCCAGCAAGAUCUGGCACAUUUCAGAAGUUGCUGACGUGUUGAUGCCUGCUAAAACACGACGUGGGAAGAAGAAUGAAUGUGGGCAAGCUCGGCUAGCCACUCAGAGGGAAAUGAUCUCAUUUCUCCUGCUGGGCAACCCCCAGUUGCUGGAUUGUCUUAAUGGCACUUAGAAAACCAGACUUACAUGGGAAAGUAAGUUAUCCAAGCAGACACCCAGAAUUGCUUGGCAUACUGUAUAACAACUGGCAAAUUAACCUUCUCACACUCGGAUAAUACUGCAGAAUUUAAGGAGCAACUGUAUCUGCCUCCAUGCAGCUGUCUAGUUUGCUAAUGCAUGUUCCUAAAAUAAAAAAAAAACACUGACACACAUACUGUCUUUUUCCUUUCAACAAUCCAGCUACUCAGUCCUUCUUGAAGUCCAUUUUCGUAAACACUUUGCUGAUCAAGAAGUGUCUGAAGAUGGGAAGACGGAGAAAGCUUGUAUUGUUUACUGAGUAUCAGAGGACACUUCCUUCAAGUGACCUAAGGCAUGUGUGAGUGCUAUCCUAUGAG
rnacentral:lncRNA from 1 species